rnacentral:rRNA from 1 species
AGUGAACGCUGGCGGCGUGCUUAACACAUGCAAGUCGAACGAGAACGGAUUAUAGCUUGCUAUAAUUGUCAGCUAAGUGGCGCACGGGUGAGUAAUGUAUAGGUAAUAUGCCUCUUACUAAGGGAUAACAAAUGGAAACGUUUGCUAAUACCUUAUACUCCUUAUUAACAUAAGUUAAUAAGGGAAAGAUUUAUUGGUAAGAGAUUAGCCUGUAUUGUAUCAGUUAGUUGGUGGGGUAAUGGCUUACCAAGACUAUGACACAUAACUGGUUUGAGAGGAUGAUCACUCACACUGGAACUGGGACACGGUCCAGACUCCUACGGGAGGCAGCAGUGGGGAAUAUUGCACAAUGGACGAAAGUCGGAUGCAGCAACGCCGCGUGGGGGAUGACACAUUUCGGUGCGUAAACUCCUUUUAUAUGAGAAGAUAAUGACGGUAUUAUAUGAAUAAGCACCGGCUAACUCCGUGCCAGCCGCCGCAGUAA